rnacentral:rRNA from 1 species
GGAGGGUGCAAGCGUUGUUCGGAAUUACUGGGCGUAAAGAGCGUGUAGGCGGUUUGGCAAGUCAGAUGUGAAAGCCCUGGGCUCAACCCAGGAAGUGCAUUUGAAACUGCCAUACUAGAGUAUGGGAGAGGAGAGUGGAAUUCCCGGUGUAGAGGUGAAAUUCGUAGAUAUUGGGAGGAACACCCGUGGCGAAGGCGACUCUCUGGACCAAUACUGACGCUGAGACGCGAAAGCGUGGGGAGCAAACAGGGAUUAGAUACCCUGGUAGUCCACGCCGUAAACGAUGAGAACUAGGUGUAGCGGGUAUUGACCCCCCUGCCCGUGCCGUAGCUAACGCAUUAAGUUCUCCGCCUGGGGAGUACGGUCGCAAGGCUA